CGCAUGUGUGUUAAUAAACCAAAUGUCUCCGAAUGAGUGAGAUUCGUAUGAAGGUUAUUCGAAUCAUUAUUAUCAUCAUGAUGGAGAAGUGGACGAUGAUCGAGUUGAAGAUCAUGGAUUGUACGGAAAAGUGGUCACGUGGGUUGUAUUUAUAUGUUAUAACGGUUAUUUUAACUAAGGAUGAAUGAUGUACUUAUUUAAAGAAGUCGUUUAAAUCGGUUUUCAUGUAUGUUAGAACAGUUAUAAAAAAAGAAAUUUUAAGACUCG